UGAGAGUCACCAUUUCUCUCAACCGUCCUGCAAAGACAACACCAAGUGCUGGCUCCUCUCCCAAGCCAGGGACUGUGUGCUGAGCCUGAGCUAAGGAUGUCAUGAAAAUUGGUCAAGAGCGAUGUCCUUACACCUGGGACUUGGGGUGGAGUCUGGACCUGUCACCUCAGCGCUUGGGAGGCAAAGCAGCAGAAACACUAUAAAUUACGCCGUAAUUUCUGGUAGUACUGCAUGGUUCUUUUUCAGAUUUUCCUCCACGUCUGUACACUCAUGCUUCCAGAAUGAAUGGCAGCUGUAACCUCAUCACUACUGCUAUUGGGAUUGCAAUAAUCUACGAAAACAAGACUCAUGAAUGGUGUGCAAUGUUGUCGCGUGACUUUCCUGUGGAGACAUGAAGUCGUCUCUUCAUCCCGGGUAGGGCACUGACAACAGAUCAAAAACGAUUCCACCGUCUCUCUGCCUGCUGCCUGUGGAUUGGGAGGUGACGUUCUUGGCUAAUGCUCCAGCACCAGGCCUGUCUGCUUCCUGC